rnacentral:lncRNA from 1 species
GUGGCUUGAUCCUCUAGGAAUUUAUCACAAUGAUAAUUUAUAAUAUUGAUGAUCAAAUUUAUAGGAAGGAAAUGUAUUCGUUUCCUAGGGUCAUUAUAACAAGUUGUGAUGAACUUAGCUUAAAAUAACAGAAAUUUAUUUUCUCACAGUUUUUAGGGGCCAGCAGUCUGAAAUCAAGGUGUUGGCAGAGUUACGUUCCCCCUCCUGGAUAGAACCUUCCCUUGUGUCUAACAGCUUCUGAUGGCUCUCACUGUUGCCUGCUUUUUUGGCUUCAUUGUCCCAGUCUCUGCCUCUGGGUGUUGAAGUGGGGAAUCAUAAUCUUUGCAGAAUUCUCAGACUUAAACCACUUCACAGACCCAGAGCUUCUGAAUGGACGGAAAGGUUGGCUUCUGCACACUUAUAGAUGUUUACGGUGAAUGUUCCUACAGGCCAUUUUCAGUAUUUUUUACCAGGGGACAAUGCCCUGGGGAAAGGUAAAUACCCAGACCUUAUAAGUGUUCUUAGAUACUGGCUUUGAAAUGACUCUGAUCUCCAGAGAUUCAAAACAUCCUAUGGCCUGCUGGACAGAAAAGGGGUAUGUGAUAUCUAGUCGAUAGAUCAGUUAUUGGUCUAAAUACAUUCAGUAAUGGGUGCAUGAUGAUCAUUGACUUAUUCUAUGUUUA